rnacentral:rRNA from 1 species
AGAGUUUGAUCAUGGCUCAGGAUGAACGCUAGCUACAGGCUUAACACAUGCAAGUCGAGGGGCAGCAUGGUCUUAGCUUGCUAAGGCCGAUGGCGACCGGCGCACGGGUGAGUAACACGUAUCCAACCUGCCGUCUACUCUUGGACAGCCUUCUGAAAGGAAGAUUAAUACAAGAUGGCAUCAUGAGUCCGCAUGUUCACAUGAUUAAAGGUAUUCCGGUAGACGAUGGGGAUGCGUUCCAUUAGAUAGUAGGCGGGGUAACGGCCACCUAGUCUUCGAUGGAUAGGGGUUCUGAGAGGAAGGUCCCCCANAUUGGAACUGAGACACGGUCCAAAACGUCCUACGGGAGGCAA